UAUUGGGAACUGACAAACAGGGUCACGUAAUCUGGUGGUAAAAAAUCAAACUAAUGAUGGGUUACAAAAGGCGAGUAAAUAUACAGUAAAUAACGUGAAAAGACAAAAAGUAGAGUAUGCUGUGCAGUUAAAGAUUGUCAGAGUAAAGCAAAUGAAAAUUUAGACGUGGUUUUCCAUAAGUUUCCGAAGGCUGGUGGUACUGCAGUACUGGUAGAAUAUUAUUUUGGUAAUUUUGAAAAAAUUAAUAAAUUAGAAGCGAGGAAAAAGUUAUUUAAAAAUAAAUGGAAUUACUCCUCACAUGAAAGCUUGCUCUUUACAUUUAAAAAAAAAAAACGAUUAUUUGAUAUUGUCAGAUAUUUUAGCAUUGAUUUCAUGGGAUUUUUCUUUUAUGUGACUCGUUUGGAUGGAAAGCGCGAUAACUACGGUCAUAUUUUUAUCGCUUUUUUCGCGGAUUAUUUCAUACAUUAUCAAAUAACCACCAGAUAAAUUUCGUUCUGCGUCAUAUAUUAUUUUUUAUUUUGGGUUUUAACCCGCCCUAGAUGAAAUAACUGAUAAAUUUAGUAACAUUUUAUUUAUGUCCUAUUAUAACAUGGGUUAUGUAUUUGAAAGUAUAACCCAUCGUCUGCCAUGUUUUUUAGGCCACGUCUACGUGUCAGUUCCCAAUACACGGGGAUUAAAUUCAGACUAUUCUGAAAUUAGCCACAAAUUCCAUAUACACACUGGAGAUUGUCGAGACUGAGUGUGAGAAGCACUACAGCUUGGAGCAUCGAUGCUUGGUACUGGGAACUGGUACUUCAAGGUUACUAGAUUAGAGAGGAUCAGGGAAGGGUUGGGUCAACCAUCUAAAUGUUAAAUUUGUCACUGAUCCCCUUCUAGAAAAAAUGAUGAGUCUACCAAUCAGCUUUCCCGAAGCAGUUCGCCGAGUUUUCAAUAAAAUGAUAACGCUGAGGGCCAGUUUUUCAAACCGGGUUUAUUUUUAACUUGGAUUUGAAUUAAUAUCGUUGGUAUAUCUAUAAGUAUGGUAUUAAUUUAAACGCGGAUGGAAAUAAACCCGGUUUAAAAAACUGGCGCUAAAAUAAUUAUGUUGGUUACACUGGGAGACAAGUAAAAUAUGAAUUUUAAAUAAAAAAAAGGAUUUUAAAUAAUAAAACUGAAAAAAUACGCGUACUAAUUUUUCGAUUAUCCAACUACGCAUUUUAAAAUUUAUAUUCUAUGACUAGAAAAGAUUUUUAAAAAAUUUUAAUGUUUUUUAAUCUUUCUGAAUUCUCAAUAAAAAAUUAAAAGUAUUCGACCGAUUAAAAAAAAAUUUUUUAGUGAUUAAAAACUAUUUGGAAGUAUUGAAAAAGAUUAAGUAUUUUUUAAUCAUUCUAAAUCUCUCUCGGAAUCAAAAUUUCACAAUUAUUUAGUCAUUAAAAGUUAUUCAAAAGUAUACUGAGAAAAAAAUAUAGUAAAUUUUACUAAAAAAUACGAGAAUAAUUACUAAAUUUGGAUAGUAAUCUUGAAACGUUUAUGAUUUACAUAAAAUUAAUAAACAGAUAAGCAUAUUUUACAAGUCGUUUAGUAAUUUCUUAUAUACUAGUUAUGGAAAAUCUCCUAUAUUGCAUAUUAAUUUUUAGUUAUAUUUAGUAAAUGUUACUAUCCCUGUAUAGUAAAUUUUACUAUAUUAGAGUGGAAAAAAAUAAAAUUAAAUUUUUAUUAGCUUUUAACUUUUUAUUAUUAUUGCUAUCAUUUUGAUUAUUAUUGUUAUUUGUCAUCUGUAUUGGUGUUAGUGUAGAUUUUUGUUUUUUUAAAAAUCACUUGUUUCGACCGAGAUUCGAACCCUGAUCUCCCGCGCGCGAGUCCUUUCCUAUGUCUGACGGCCCGAUGUCUCCUUUGGACAAAAGUUUCAGAACUUGUAAUGCAUAUUUGUAUAUGUUAUCCCCACCAACUUUUAAUUUUAUCUAUACCUAGUAGAAUUUACGAUACAGACAGUAAAAAAAUAUAAUCGUGUUCGCAAAAAUUACAUUGCGUAUAGUAAUUUUUAAUAUUUUGUAUAGUAACAAAUCCUAUAUUGUAUUAGAAAAUUAACUUUCUUAAAUUUGUAUUUAUUACUAGUACUUAUAGUAAGAUUUACUAUACAAAUAGUAAAAAAUAUAAUCGACUUAGUAAAAAAUACAUUACGGAUAGUAAUUAUUAAUAUCAUAUUAUGUAAUUAUUACUAACUAGUAAAUUUUACUAAACAUUUUGUAAUAAUCACAAUACGGAAUGUAUUUUUUCAUAUCUGUUAGUAAAUGUUACUAUAGUAUUGUAAUUUUUACUAUAUUUUUUUCUCCGUGUUAUCACAAACAUUAAUGAUUAUAAUUACUUGAUUCAUAUGGAACAAGCAGCUGUUGCAGCAAAUUAUGCUUAAUACUACAUCGUAUUCAUUGUCCGGGAAUAUAUGAUUUUGCCUAAUAAUCAUAUAUGGAGUAUAUAUAAUUAUACAUGGACAUAUAUAAUUAUAUAUACUCAGACAUUGGCUUAUACAUAUAAUUGAAUCUGAUCAUACCUGAUUAAUAUAAGUCCUUAUAUAUACAUGUAUUAUAUUUAUAAAAUUUUUAUUGUUGUUAAGUUUAAUGUUUUUAAAGGUCUUGUGUAUAAAUUAAAUAAAAGAUUCAAAAGUGGAGA